rnacentral:rRNA from 1 species
UACGUAGGGGGCAAGCGUUGUCCGGAAUCAUUGGGCGUAAAGCGCGUGUAGGCGGCUCGAUAAGUCUGCUGUGAAAGUUCAGGGCUCAACCCUGAAAUGCCGGUGGAAACUGUCGAGCUAGAGUCCGGAAGAGGUGAGUGGAAUUCCUGGUGUAGCGGUGAAAUGCGCAAAUAUCAGGAGGAACACCAAUGGCGAAGGCAGCUCACUGGGACGGUACUGACGCUGAGACGCGAAAGCGUGGGGAGCAAACAGG